rnacentral:pre_miRNA from 1 species
UGUUAAGGAUGAGCAAAGAAAGUGGUUUCUUAAGAUAGAAUCCACUUCUGGUGAAGAUGACAUGAAUA